AUUGAACGCUGGCGGCAUGCCUUACACAUGCAAGUCGAACGGCAGCACGGGCUUCGGUCUGGUGGCGAGUGGCGAACGGGUGAGUAAAGUAUCGGAACGUGCCCUAGAGUGGGGGGAUAACGUAGCGAAAGUUACGCUAAUACCGCAUAUUCUAUGCGUAGGAAAGCGGGGGAUCUUCGGACCUCGCGCUCUAGGAGCGGCCGAUAUCAGAUUAGCUAGUUGGUGGGGUAAAGGCCUACCAAGGCGACGAUCUGUAGCGGGUCUGAGAGGAUGGUCCGCCACACUGGGACUGAGACACGGCCCAGACUCCUACGGGAGGCAGCAGUGGGGAAUUUUGGACAAUGGGCGCAAGCCUGAUCCAGCCAUGCCGCGUGAGUGAAGAAGGCC
rnacentral:rRNA from 1 species